UUUGGUAAGGUCGGGCCAUGGUGGGGCAGAGGUUGGGAAGAUGGCGUGGCGAGGCUUGGCGCAGAGAGGCUGGGGCUGUGGUCAGGCGUGGGCUCCGCCGGCGGGCGGCCGCAGCUGCGAGGAGCUCACUGCAGCCCUGGGUCAGCCGCGGCUGCUCGGGCGCAGGUUUAAUGUUUUUAUUCAGCAAAAAUGUGGAUUCAGAAAAGCACCCAGAAAGGUUGAACCUCGAAGAUCAGACACAGGAACAAGUAGUGAAGCAUACAAGAGAAGUGCUUUGAUUCCUCCUGUAGAAGAAACAGCCUUUUAUCCUUCUCCUUAUCCUAUAAGGACUCUUGUAAAGCCUUUGUUUUUUACUGUUGGGUUUACAGGCUGUGCAUUUGGAUCAGCUGCCAUUUGGCAAUAUGAAUCACUGAAAUCCAGGGUGCAGAGUUAUUUUGAUGGUAUAAAAGCUGAUUGGUUGGAUAGCAUAAGACCACAGAAGGAAGGAGACUUCAGAAAGGAGAUUAACAAGUGGUGGAAUAACCUAAGUGAUGGCCAGCGGACUGUGACAGGUAUCAUAGCUGCAAAUGUUUUUGUAUUUUGUUUGUGGAGAGUACCUUCUCUACAGCGGACGAUGAUCAGAUAUUUCACAUCCAGUCCAGCCUCAAAGGUCCUUUGUUCUCCAAUGUUGCUGUCAACGUUCAGUCAUUUCUCCUUGUUUCACAUGGCAGCAAAUAUGUACGUCUUGUGGAGCUUCUCCUCCAGCAUAGUGAACAUUCUCGGUCAAGAGCAGUUCAUGGCAGUGUACUUAUCUGCAGGUGUUAUUUCCAAUUUUGUUAGUUAUGUGUGUAAAGUUGCCACAGGAAGAUAUGGACCAUCACUUGGUGCAUCGGGCGCAAUCAUGACUGUCCUUGCAGCUGUCUGCACUAAGAUCCCAGAAGGGAGGCUCGCCAUUAUCUUCCUUCCAAUGUUCACGUUCACGGCAGGGAAUGCCCUAAAAGCCAUUAUUGCCGUGGAUACAGCAGGAAUGAUCCUGGGAUGGAAAUUUUUUGAUCAUGCAGCACAUCUUGGGGGAGCUCUCUUUGGAAUGUAAAAGUUAAGAGCAUCUUCUCUCUGGCAUGGGUCUGAAAUAACAGCUGCAAUAUUUUCUAAAUUUUCCCAAAAAGGCUCGCGGGACCCCGGCCGGGACGUGCCGCUUACUCAGUACCAGCGGGACUUCGGCGUGUGGACGGCGCCCGCGAGGCCCAGAGAUGCAACACUGGGGCGCGGGUCGGGAGCGGGCGGCCGCAGGAUCAAGCCCCCCGCGCCCUACAGCCGGGGGGUCUACGUGCUCCCCGUCGGCGACGCAGAUGCGGCUGCAGCGGCGACCACAUCGUACAGGUAUGAGGCUGGGGGCAGGGGAGCGCAUUGUACGCAAACCACGUGGUCCCAGGAGACUGAGCUGGGGAGCCUGGAGGAUCAGGGUGGGCGGGAGGGAGGAGGCGCCUGGAGCCCCCAUCCCACACGACUUAGAGAGCCGUGGGUGGCCUCCGAGGUCAUCCCCUUUGGUUCCUGGCACUGCCAGCGUCUCCUUCGAUGCUCCCCGACCAGACUGGGAGUGAGUGAGCGAGCGAGCACCUCCGUGGCGGCGAGCUCACUACCUCACUCGGUGCUCUCUCGGGCAGUCCUGGCAGAAAGCCUGCCUUCGACCGAGUUAAAAUCCUCUUCCCCUUAACUUCCACCAGGUGGGCCUAGCCAUAGGAGGGGUGCUCGCAGGCCAACUGCCUGAGGAUCGCCUUCUGUGGGGGCGUUGGUGGUGAGGACCAAAUGCAGAGCUUCCAAGUGGGUGGUCCCCUAGAGAUGCCACUGAGUGACUGAGGGCAGCUGACUUGGCUUUCACUGAGGACAGGCCUGUGUUCUGCCCCUGGACAGCUGAGGGCUUUCUGUCUUCUUAUAACAAGUGAUCAGAAAAAUUGGAAAUUACGGAAAUUACAACAUAGAAAAUGAGUAUGCCCUUAAUCCUACCCCAAACUCGUAGUUCUUUCUAAUCCUUAACAUGCAUUUGAGUGCGUAUCUGUUUAUAAUUCUUGCAUAGAUUUGUAACUGUACACGUUUUUUUUUUCCUUUCACGUAUCGUGGAUGUCAUUCCGUGUUACUAGAUGCUCUCCUACAACAUGAAUUUUAAUGGAUGUGCAGUAUUUUAUCUUAUGGAUAUACAUUAUCCAUAUAUUGAUAUAUAUGUCCACAUAUUAACCUACUCUCAUGUCGUUAAAUAUUUAGGGUGUUUCUAAUUUGGGGCUAUUAAAAACACUGUUCCUUUGAUCUAGUUACUUCACUUGUAGAAAUUUUCCCUACAGGUAACCUUGAACAUGGGGUGGGAGCUAAGGAGUAUAAGGUACGUGUCAACAACAGUACAGCAGAAAAUGGAAACAGUUCCAUUGUCCUACUGAUGUAGGGGACUGGUUAAUUAUAGCUCUGCCAUAGGAUGGGCUACUGGGAAGCCCAGAAUGUACUGAUAAUAGAAGAUGUCAAAAAAGAUGCAGAACGAUACAUCUGCUACUAUUUGUGUUUUUAAAGGGGUUAUUGAUACAUACAUAUCUGCUGAAAUAAGCGUAGGAUGUCUCUGCAUGAAUGUGUGAGAAAAUGGUAACCUUUAGGGAGAGGAAGAAGGGGAAGGAGUUGUGGAUGCUGCCAGGGGUGGAAGGAGACUGAGGGACUUUUCACUCUGCCCUUUUGAACCACUGCUUUGUUUUUUUCUUUUGGCUGUGCCACAUGGUUUGCAGGAUCUUAGUUCCCCGACUAGGGAUGGAACCCAUGCCCCCUGCAAUAGAAGCACGGAAUCCUAACCACUGGACCACCAGGGAAUUCCCUGAACCACUGCUCUUAAAAAAAAAAAAAGUACAUGUAUUACCUUUAACAAAAAAUUUUAGAGAAAAAAAUAUCUCUUUUGAUCAGCAUUCUUGUAGCUAAAUCUUUGCUUAUACAAUAAUUUCUUUAGUAUGAAUUCCUACCUGUGGAAUUAAGGGCCAAAAGGUAUGAACUUUCUCCUUCAAUUUUAUUACUUUUAAAAUCAACUGUAUUGAGGUAUAAUUUCCAUAUAGUAAAAUUCAUCCAUUAUAAGUGUACAGCUGGAUGACUUUUGUAUACACCUGGGCAUCACCACCAUAAUUCAGACACGUGGAACAUUUUGUCUCCCCAGAGGUUCCUUCACGGGCAUGCAGGUUUUAAGGAACUCGAUGGGGAGUGGCUGUUUCAGGAUGGGUCUUGUGUUCAGGGACGUGUGCUCAAGCUGAGCUGCAGAAAUGCAGCCAGGGGUGUCAGGGCAGGGCAGACACUGAGCCGCAGCACUGGGGCCCCAGCCACGCAGUGGACGGUGCCGACUGCUGCACGACGGGGCCCUGAACCAGCUGGAGGGGCCUUGAAUGACAGGUCUGGAAGGCCAGAGGUCCUGGGUGUGCAGCGCCUUCAAAUGGCUGAUGUUCCAGGCACAGAUGCGGGCGGAACUUGCAGGGAGAUAGCUUCAGCUCAGGGAAGGAAGCACUUUCUAAUAAUUAGAACUGACUGGGAUGGGUAAGGUCACGUGGUGCUGAUCUCCUGUUCACUGGAAGUGUCCAAGCAAAGGCUGGACUUUUAGAAGCCAUCCCUCACCCUUGCUGAGCAGAUGGCAGGUUUGAAUGUCCUGCUGGGUCCUUCCAGCUCCAGUGAUACUAAAGGUACUAGUUAUUACUCUCUGCUUGGCACGUACCAGGCACCAGGCUUAGGACUUCCCACAGAUUAUCUCCCCAAGACUUCACAAAAACGCCCUGGAAUAAGUUCAGUUCUUGCUGUCCCCAUUCUAUAGAUGAGGAACUUGAGUGGCUGGCACGAGGUCACGCAGAGCAGAGCAGAACCCAAGUGUGUCUUGCCUCAGAGACCAAAUCUGUGCCCCUAAUAGGUUAUCAUCUCCUAAGAUGCUGCCUCCUCUGAAUCAGGUAGUUGCUUGACCUGUGUCCGGCAGUGGUGGAAAAGUACCGAGUUGGGCAAGAGUUGGGACUCACUAGAGCUCUCCUUCCUGGUAUAUAAACUCGGUGGGUCACUUGGCCCCUCUGACCCUUUCCUCAUCUGUGAAGCAGAAAUAGCAAGAGCUUAGUUGCCUGGGUCACCUGGCAGAGACAUAGGACCACUGCUGAACUUGGCUCCCCAGCACCGUGCGAGCCGACCUCGGGGACCCUCCAUCUCCCAGCUGUACUACUGGAAUGAGCAAUUCCAUCCCACCUGCCUUCUUGAAAGAUGCACGUUACCUAAGCGAACUAGUUAAAGAAAUUUACAAAGCAAAGGAAAUGAACAGAUCCAGAGAGCCCAGGGAUACGAGUACUCGUGGCUACUCCUCUCCACCCCAGCAGGUCCUGCCUCACCUGGCCCUUGGUCUCCAGGUGAGAACUGACCUGCCUCUCACUCGGCCACAAGGGCAGCGGGUCCUGCCCACUGCCAGCCUGGGUCCUUCCUCCUGACCAGCUCCUCCCAGAGCCUUCCCUCCAGAGUUCGGUGUGUCAGCACCCCUGGCCCAGUCGUCUCCCUCUUUCCUUCCUGGGUGAGUCAGUUAAAGGGCCAACAGUCAAAGUGCCAGACUUGACUCCCACUUUUCCAAGUGCCCAUCGGGAAGGCUUAGGGAAGUUCAGGGAUUUGUUUGAAGCCAUGUUGGCCUGAGAAUCCAGGCCUCAGGACCCUCAGUCUGGUGCUCUGCAAUGCCCUGGGUGGCUCCCUGCCCCUCAGCAGGAGGGACUGCGGCCCUCAAGGUCCAGCUGAGGCUCACAUGAGGUGGACAGUGGUGGAAACUUCUUGGUGAGGGGAGGCACAGUUGACUCAGCUAGUCCUGUAUUAUCUCCUCGGCAGGCCAUUAGCCUGCCCUCCUCAUCUCCUGGGCAGUCACCAGGCCCUGCCGAGUCUGUCUUCAACGUCCCUUCUCCAUCCCCACUGCAGGCCUCCCUCUCACCUGGGCUCCAGCACCAGGCCUGUCCCACAAGGAACCACAGGCACUGCUCUAGCCCCUGGCUCUGGUCACCUCCUGCUCUGGGACCCCUGCAGCCACCCUGGGGCAGCAGGCUUGGGCUGCCAGACCCAAGGCUCAGUUCAGUGUGGGAACAGAAGGGCACACCAAGGGGAGGACCUGCUUCCCCAGGAGAAACAGAGUAGCAGAUGGCUCGGGCAGCUGGUCUUUGAAACCUUGCAGCUUUGGAAGCAAAAGUUAUCCAAUAGGGCCUUGGCCCAAUUCGCCUCCUGGUACCCAAGUGCUGGCCACAGACAGACACAGCUGCUCCCUGCACACGUGUCAUGCCCAGUGGUGCCCAGCUGUGCUGCUAAGGAGAAAAGGCUGCUUUGUUGAUCUCAGGGCCUGAAACCUGGCCAGGGCUGUGGAUGGGGUGAGAUAGGCUGGGCUGGACCCAGCCCAAAUAUGGAGGCUGCCUCUGGCCAUCUGGACCCUUUUCCUCAGAACAUCACCUUGGCCAGCGGCUCCUGUGGGCACAGGAGGUCUCUGCCAUUUAGUAGGGGAGUUGAUAGAAUUAAAAUAGGUGUUUUUUUUUUUUUUUUUUUUUAAGAGGAACUGAGGAAUUGAGUCUUUGUCAAAAGAAUGCUACUCUGAGCACUUGGAGCUAGGCCGUGCCAGCCUUGUCACUUCCCUCCAGGUAGCCAACACUUACCCCCUGUGCAGACCACCGUCCCUCCCUGCUCCUGCACAUCAGUGCCCGCGGGCACAGCGCCAUACAAAAGCCACAGCGCCAGGCUGUCUUUAGUUUCUUGAGAUGGUCACUACGACUUAUACUCUUUUGUAGGAGUUAAUAAGACAAGUUAUUAAAAACUAAACACAACACUGAGCCUCAUUUUCUUCCUCAGUUGUAACCAGGUAUGGAGGACCGUGCAGUAUGCUGUCCAGUCCGUCACCUCCUCUGGACAUAAGGGCCACCAGCGACGUGGGCUGCAGGCGAGCGACUUUUGCUGGUUCUGGGCCUCUAGGGCCCCUUGAAGUGGCCCGGAGGCAAGAUAGGGAGCCCUGGAGGGCAGGGCUGGAACGUGCUGUCUCUGAGGGCCAGCACACGCUGGGAACUUGCAGUUCGGGAUGAGUAGGAUCCAGUUGUUGACUGAGCUCUCUGCUUACUCCCCGUGCAGCCUGUGCCACUGCUCCCCAGCAGCGUGAGAGAAAAUUCCCGCUGGAGCUGUCUGGGGUACACUUCGUCUGCUAGUUCUGCCUUUGUAAGGGGAGAAAGGAACAUCUGCAGCCAAAGCAACAUCUCAGCAGUGGACAUUGGUCAGGAAUAUUCCAGAAGCACAGGGCAAGGGCCGAGGCCUCUGAGGGGUCAGGGGAAGGGACGGGAGACCCUGUGCAAGGUUGUGAUGUGUUCUGUUCCAGACAGGAAUUCCA